rnacentral:rRNA from 1 species
UACGUAGGGGGCGAGCGUUGUCCGGAAUCAUUGGGCGUAAAGCGCGUGUAGGCGGCCCGGUAAGUCCGCUGUGAAAGUCGGGGGCUCAACCCUCGGAUGCCGGUGGAUACUGUCGGGCUCGAGUACGGAAGAGGCGAGUGGAAUUCCUGGUGUAGCGGUGAAAUGCGCAGAUAUCAGGAGGAACACCAAUUGCGAAGGCAGCUCGCUGGGACGUCACUGACGCUGAGGAGCGAAAGCGUGGGGAGCGAACAGG